UGCCAGAAAUCUAGAGAAGACGAGUCA
rnacentral:piRNA from 1 species